rnacentral:rRNA from 1 species
AGAGUUUGAUCCUGGCUCAGGAUGAACGCUGGCGGCGUGCCUAACACAUGCAAGUCGAACGAGAAGCUAACUUCUGAUCCCUUCGGGGUGAUGAGGUUAGCAGAAAGUGGCGAAUGGGUGAGUAACGCGUGGGUAAUCUACCCUGUAAGUGGGGGAUAACCCUCCGAAAGGAGGGCUAAUACCGCAUAAUAUCUUCUCCCCAUAAGAAGAGAAGAUUAAAGAUGGCCUCUAUACUAUGCUAUCGCUUCAGGAUGAGCCUGCGUCCUAUUAGUUAGUUGGUGGGGUAAUGGCCUACCAAGACCACAAUGGGUAGCCGGUCUGAGAGGAUGUACGGCCACACUGGGACUGAGAUACGGCCCAGACUCCUACGGGAGGCAGCAGUGGGGAAUAUUGCGCAAUGGGGGAAACCCUGACGCAGCGACGCCGCGUGGAUGAUGAAGGCCCUUGGGUUGUAAAGCUCUUUUCUGGGGGAAGAGGAAGGACGGUACCCCAGGAAUAAGUCCCGGCUAACUACGUGCCAGCAGCCGCGGUAAUU